rnacentral:lncRNA from 1 species
UGGGGCUUAAGAAUAUUGUUGAAUGGAAGUGGGAGAGAUGCAAGUCAAUAGGGAGUACAAAAGAAGUCGUUUCUUUGAUGAUAAGGGAACAAAAGAAGGCACCCACUCGAGAGGGUGGGCAAUGACGUUAGAUAGACGAUGAUCUCCAAAGAUGUGAGAGCCUCAAGUUUGCUACCAGUCAGUCGAAGUCAAAAGUUAUAGUGUGGUGUUGGCAAAAAG